rnacentral:rRNA from 1 species
UACGUAGGUGGCAAGCGUUGUCCGGAUUUAUUGGGUUUAAAGGGUGCGUAGGCGGCUUAUUAAGUCAGUGGUGAAAUACUCUAGCUCAACUAGAGGGGUGCCAUUGAUACUGAUGAGCUUGAGUACAGAUGAGGUAGGCGGAAUUGACGGUGUAGCGGUGAAAUGCUUAGAUAUCGUCAAGAACACCUAUAGCGAAGGCAGCUUACUAGGCUGUAACCGACGCUGAGGCACGAAAGGGUGGGGAUCAAACAGG